ACGCCUAACACAUGCAAGUCGAGCGAGGUAGCAAUACCUAGCGGCAGACGGGUGAGUAACAUGUGGGAAUCUGCCUUUUGGUCGGAACAACACGGGGAAACCUGUGCUAAUACCGGAUAAGUCCUUACGGAGAAAGUUUUAAUGCCAAAAGAUGAGCCCGCACUUGAUUGGCUAGUUGGUAAGGUAAUGGCUUACCAAGGCAACGAUCAAUAGCUGUUCUUAGAGGAAGACCAGCCACAUUGGGACUGAGACACGGCCCAAACUCC
rnacentral:rRNA from 1 species